UUUUCCGGUUGAUCCUGCCGGACCCCACUGCUAUUUGGGUGAGAAUAAGCCAUGCGAGUUGAAUGGGAUACCUAAAGUUCCCAUGGCAACACUGCUCAUUAACACAUGAUCAACUUGCCCUAUAAAGAAAACUAACCUCGCGGAAACAGAGGAUAAUGUUUCAUAGCUGAAUUGGCUUGCAAAAGUUUUUCAUCUACAAGGGAUAAAAAAAAUGGUUUUUAUCUGCUAUAGGAUAGGAUCGUGGCCGAUUAUGGUUGUUGGUGAGGUAAUGGCUCACCAAGCCAAUAAUCCAUAGGGGCCGUGAGAGCGGGAGCCCCGAGAUGGGUACUGAGAAAACGACCCAAGCCUUACUAGGCGCAGCAGGCGCCAAACCUCCACUAUCCACGACAGUGUGACGGGGUUACCCAAUGUGUUCAUCUUUGAACUGUGGAAAGUGAGCAAUGUUCCCUACGAGAAAGGAGAGGGCAAGGGCUGGUGCCAGCCGCCGCGGUAAAACCAGCUCUUCAAGUGGUCGGGAUAAUUAUUGGGCUUAAAGUGUCCGUAGCCGGUUUAGUAAGUUCCUGGUAAAAUUGGGUAGCUUAACUGUCUAUAUGCGGGGAAUACUGCUAUACUAGAGGGCGGGAGAGGUCAGAGGUACUUCAGGGGUAGGGGUGAAAUUUUAUAAUCCUUGGAGGACCACCAGUGGCGAAGGCGUCAGUCUAGAACGCGCCUGACGGUGAGGGAAGAAAGCCAGGGGAGCGAACCGGAUUAGAUACCCGGGUAGUCCCGGCUGUAAACGAUGCAUAAUAGGUGGUGGCGCGGCCAUGAGCCGUGUCAGUGCCGUAGGGAAGCCUGUUAAGUGUGCCGCCUGGGAAGUACGGUCGCAAGGCUGAAACUUAAAGGAAUUGGCGGGGGAGCACCACAAGGGGUGAAGCCUGCGGUUCAAUUGGAUUCAACGCCGGGAAUCACUAGU
rnacentral:rRNA from 1 species